rnacentral:rRNA from 1 species
AUGGACCAUUCCAUCCCUUUUUCCCGUGCAUAUGCAUCGGACUCGGAUGACAAUGGUCCCGAUGAACAAGUUGAUGCGGAGGGGUUCACGGUGAAGGAGGCCGAAGCUUUCGAGAAGGUAUUUGGUCGGGAUCAUCGGACUACAUUGUUCAAGGAUGUUAGUCUCACGGAUGAAGCCGUGGUAGAUGGUGGCCAAUGUGUAGCUCUUGGGGUUAGGCCAAGCUCUCAC